rnacentral:rRNA from 1 species
UACGGGGGGGGCAAGCGUUGUUCGGAAUUACUGGGCGUAAAGGGCUCGUAGGCGGCCAACUAAGUCGGAUGUGAAAUCCCCAGGCUUAACCUGGGAACUGCAUCCGAUACUGGAUGGCUUGAAUCCGGGAGAGGGAUGCGGAAUUCCAGGUGUAGCGUGAAUGACGUAGAUAUCUGGAGGAACACCGGUGGCGAAGGCGGCAUCCUGGACCGGCAUUGACGCUGAGGAGCGAAAGCCAGGGGAGCAAACGGG